GCCGGGCGCGGUGGUUCACGCCUGUAAUCCUAGCACCUUGGGAGGCCGAGGUGGGCGGAUCACCUGAGGUCAGGAGUUCAAGACCAGCCUGGCCAACAUGGUGAAACCCCGUCUCUA
ensembl:misc_RNA Metazoa_SRP Metazoan signal recognition particle RNA